AACAGGACACAAUUGGAGAAACUGGUUAUUUUACCAAGGCUUUGACUGGAAUGGUGCACUUUCCUUUAAGGAUCAAACAUGACUUAUGGAGCCAAUUAAAUCCCCUUGGGAAAACUGGCCUCAUUGCUUGUCUACACAGUUCCUGUCCAGGGUUCCUGACUUACGGAUGUGAGACUUCACAACCUGCUAAAAAUGAACUUUCCUAAUAACUCGGGACCUACCCAUCUAGGAAUAAACCAUCCUAUUCAUGACAGUGCCUGUGAAAGAUAAAGGAGAAAGAAUCAGGGUUGGAGAACUGGAAAAGUCUUGGCCAACCAAAUAGGCAACCCUGCAGCAAAGAUUGCCCAUUAGAAGAGUCAAAUGCUAGGAAGAAAUUGCAAACCCUACUAUUCUCACUGUGCUCAAACUUCGACUAGGAACUUCCACAAAGAGUGUGGCCUUGGCUUGAACAUUGCAGCAGCAGAUUAUGUAGGUGCUGAACUUGGAGUUUUGCACUUCUCACAGCUGACAGCAAAUUCUUUCUUCAAGGGAGACCUGAGCAGUCCUCCAUAUCUGCCAAAUUACUGCAUAGGAACAAAAAGGAGCCCUCCAUUCAUCUAAGAAGCAAAAUGAACUAGCAGAGAGAGCUUUGGCAUCAGGCAAAUCUGAUUGUAAAUACUUCUAGCAUAUAGUUGCUCUUACAUUGAGUUGGAUUGCUGGAUCAGGAAAUAUUAAUAUUUUAAAGACAUUUAUUACCAAACCAGUAUCAAAAAUAUCACUUUGGUUGACCAUGAUACCAGCAAUGGAUACAUGUAUAUGUUUCCCUGAAAUGCUAUGAAUACUGUUUUUCUGAGGCAUGAAGAGAUGCUUUCUGCCCUCGAACAACAGACUCCAAGUUCUUCAAAUUUGGAUUCUUGGACUUACAUCAGCGAUUUGCCAGGGCCUUCAGCCACAGACUGAAGGCUGCACUGUCAGCUUCCCUACUUUUGAGGUUUUGGGACUUGGACUGGCUUCCUUGCUCCUCAGCUUGCAGACGGCCUAUCAUGGGACUUCACCUUGUGAUUGUUGAUAAAAUAGUAUCACAGUUCCAGCAAUCACACCUACCAUCAAAGCAGGAAAAGAAGAAAAGCAUAAAGCAAGAGGUUUCACUUGAAUUUUGUCAAGAAAACAAAGACUCGUCCAAAAUUUUCUUUACAUCCUGUUGGUCAAAAAUAGUUUGAACUGGCAGCUCUAACUGCACGAAAGGUUGGAAGUAGUUUAAGAGUGACCACAAUUGAGAAAAAGAACAAGGAACUGGGCAAAGUUCAGAGAUGAGCAAAAGCACUAGUUUUCAUGAAGAGUUACACACAGAAUUAAUUAUGGCCUUUUAUGAAUCAAUAAUAUGCUUGCCUAUGUUCAAUCAGGAUCACAUGAUGACUGUGCUACCUCCAUCCGUCACAUCUUUAUUCAAUCAGGAAAAGAGAGAAGAGAGGUCAUAGCAACCAUGUCUAUCCAUCUUAGUAACAAUUUAGUUUUCUGGCCUGGCGCGGUGGCUCAGGCCUGUAAUCCCAGAACUUUGGGAGGCCGAGGCGGGUGGAUCACCUGAGAUCAGGAGUUCGAGACCAGCCUGAUCAACAUGGUGAAACCCCUGUCUCUACUAAAAAUACAAAAAUUAGCCAGGCAUGGUGGCGCAUGCCUGUAAUCCCAGCUACUUGGGAGGCUGAGGUAGGAAAUCACUUGAACCCAGGAGGCAGAGGUUGCAGUGAGCUGAGACUGUGACACUGCACUCCAGCGGGGGCAAAAAGAGCAAAACUUCAUCUCAAAAAAAGAAUUUAGUUUUCUGGAGGCUACUCUCACAGACUUAUGCUUAGCAUCUGUUAUAAGGUGAAUUGUGUCCUCUUAAAAGUAACAGGUUAAAACCCUAACCCCCAGUACCUCAGAAUGUAACUCUAUUUGAAGAUAGAGGCAAUAAAGAGGUAAUUAUGGUUAAAUAAAGUCAUCUGGGUGGGCCUUCAUUCAAUCUGAGCUGUAUUCUUUAAAAAGAGGGAAAUUUGGACACGUACACAAGACACCAGAGAUAUUCACACACAGAGGAAAGACUAUGAGGGGAUGCAGGUAGAAGGCAGCCUUCUGCAAGUUAAGGAGAGAGACUUCAAAAUAAAACAAAAUAAAACCAACUCUACUGACACCUUGAUUUUGGACGUCCAGCCUCCAGAACUAUGAGAAAAUAAAUUUCUGUCAUUUAAGC
rnacentral:lncRNA from 10 species